rnacentral:lncRNA from 1 species
CCAUAUCUGAACUUAGUUCUAUUCCUGGGUGCGACUCAAUCAAUUUCAGCUCGGGGAUAUAUAUGAUAACUUGAGAUCAAACUAAACAAUUUGGAGGUUUGCCUAUCUUGCUUAUGUCUAGUAUACUUCGUUUGUUUUCCCUUAGGAUGCUUAAUUUGGUUAUCUUGUGCAGAUAAAACUAAUGGUGCUUCACAAUUCUCAACAAAUCCCUGUUCUAGAGAAUGUCUGUACCUCUGCUACCUAUGCAUUUUGCAUCAUUCCUGAUGAUUCAAUAAUUAAACAAUUGGGGGUAACUAAAUUAAAUCUUUGUUCAUUUUUCUUUUUUGUUACAGCAAUAAUGAGGAAAUUUAUACUCUUGGUACUAAUUACCUAAGCAAAUAAUUCUUUUAUCCCCUAAAUCCUUUUUCGAAGAAAGAAGGUGACCCACUAUAUUAGCAAUGAUCAUAGAAAAAAUAGAAUAAUUAAAGGAUUUCCUAUAUAUCAAUUAUCUUCAGAUGUUUAUGUGAAAGAAGAGAAUGUUAUAUUUCUACUGAAUAAUAUAUCCUAUUCAUAUACAACUUUUAGAACAAAAAAAGAAUUCCUAAUUUAAUUACACAUCUGUUUAGGAGGCUAUAAUAUAAAUAUAAAAUGAGACAAAUAUCUAGACUUAAUAAUACUUUUCAGCAUUCCCUCAAAUUGGUGAAUAGACAUUGUUCAUUCACAGCUUACUAAUGAUUGUCUUAGAUGUGGGAUUGUUCAGAUCCUUGGUGAGUACGUACAUAAGUUGAGAGUCACUGGACAUAGAGGGCAUGCAGAUCAAAUCACUAACUUUUUUUUGAUAAAGUGUUUGUCCAAUUCAGUAUGUUUGGUCUUAUCAUCUUGUACUCGAUUGUUUACAGUAUAAUCACCGAUUUGUUGUUACAGUAAAGUCUCGGCGAGCUAUUUCACUUAAUUUUUGUAUUUUCUGAGAUAAUUUCAACUAUAAUAACUUGUAGACUCCUUGUGCCAUUGUCUCGAUAUUUUGAUUCUGCACUUGACCGGUCUACCAUAUUAUGUUUCUUGCUUAUCAUACAAUAAGAUUUUCCUGAAAGCAAGUGCAAUAAGCCAUGGUUGAUCUUUCUAUGGAUUACUAACCGGACAUUUUUAGCAUCAGGAUAUGCUUCUAGUCUAAGUUCAAUACUCUGUUUGAUUAAGAUGCUUAUCCGUGGAAUGCUUUUAAGAUAAUGCAAUACACUGUAAGUUGCUUUUAGGUGAAUUUCUUUCGGAUUGUGCAUAAACUAACUUAUUGUACUUACUGCACAAUGUCUGUCCUUGUUGAUAGUAAUAUCUUCUUCUGCCAAUCCUAGCUUCUUGUUGGGAUCUAUUGAUGUGCUAACAAGUUUGCAUGCCAGCUUGCCUAUAUCCUUCAGAAAGGCGUUAAUGUACUUUUGUUAAGAGAGAGAUUCUUUGCUUUGUGUGGGCCACCUCAAUUUGGAGGAAAUACUUCAGUUUGCCUAUUCUUGUCACAAUGAUGUUAUAAACAUAUACAAAUAGAGUUAUGACUUUUUUAACUAUUGCAAAUCAGGCUAUUGGUGAAUGUUUCAAUUCACAUAAUGCUCUUUUAAGUAUGUAUACCUUAUUGAAUAUUAUAUAUUCUGUGAACUUCAAUAGAAUUUUAUAUAUAUUUUCUCUUGAAAAUUCCAUAUAAAAAGUCAUUUUUCACAUUAAAUUGUUAAAUCUGCAAGUUAUAGUUAGCAGUUAAGGACAGAAGUACUUGGACUACUUCCAUCUUGGCAAUGGAUGCAAAAAAUCUCUUGAUAGUCUAUAUCAUAGAUGUGUAUGUACUCCUCCACCACUAGUGUUAAUUUAUACCUUUUCAUAAUACUGUUAUUGCUUUAGACUUGUAUUGAACAUUUACUCAUAUCUCCCUUGUUUUUUCCUUUUAUUAGGUCCAAUACUUCUCAGGUUCAGUUGUUUUUCACUAUCUGAAUUUUGACAUUUAUAACAAGUUUUUAUUUUUCACAGGACAAUACAGCAGGUAAUAUAGUAG